AUAGAGCCGUCUCAGAGCCCCUGGUCCUCUCCGGUAGUGCUGGUACCUAAGUGAGAUGAUACGACUCACUUCUGUAUCGACUAGCUGUGUUCUCAGUGCAGAGUGAUCCCUUGAAUAUCUUUCGCAAGCACCCACAGCAUCAGACCUGUCUACCGUCACCUUGCUCAUUGAGGUGCCACGUGAUAGGUGCCUGCUCUGGGAAGGGGUGUGUUCUGUGCACCUC